ACACACACACACACACACAUACACACACACACACACACACACACACACACACACAGACAGUUGUGGUGUUUGCAUAUGUGUGCUGUGUCAGUGCUGCACACACUUUAAGAGCUGUAGUGCUGAUCAGAGUGUGUUCAGUCCUUUCAGAGCCACUGACACGCAGCACAAUGAUGAUGGUACUGAUUCUACUGCUGGGGACACUGGGACUCCUCGCUCACCAGUCCUUUGGGGAAAUCGUCCUGACUCAGUCUCCAGGAGCUCAGUCUGUUUCUCCAGGACAAUCUGUUACUCUCACCUGUACAGCCAGUGGAUAUAUACAUGAUGACCUGACCUGGUACCUGCAGAAACCUGGAGAAGCUCCUAAAUCGCUGAUAUAUGAUGCAUAUCAUCUUCAGUCUGGAAUUCCAGAUCGUUUCCGUGGCAGUUAUUCAGGUUCAAAUUUUUAUCUAAAAAUCUCUGGAGUUCAGACUGAAGAUGCAGGAGAUUAUUACUGUCAGCUGGAAUACGUUCCAUACACACAGUGUUAUAGCGCCGUACAAAAACCUCCCUCAGCUGUAGAGGAAGUGCUCUGAGUCAGAAACACACACUGAUGUGAAAACAGCUGCAGAUCUGCUAAAGCUGCACUCCACUGAACAUCAUCAAACGUCUUCAUGUUUAAAUAAUAAUCAUUCCUGAGAAGCAGAAAACUCUUAAUCAGCUGUUCCUUCUGUGAUGAGAAAUCAGCUGGUGUGUAUAAUGGUGUAUGAUGAUGAUUUCCACCUUCCACCUUUUGC